UGGGACUAAGACAUGCUAGUCGAGCGUCUUCAGGCUAUGUUGAGGACGCGGCGUACGGCUCAGUAACACGUGGCCAACCUACCCUUAGGACGGAGACAACCCCGGGAAACUGGGGCUAAUCCCCGAUAGGUGAGGACGCCUGGAAUGGUCUCUCACCCAAAGGACGUUGAAACCAUGCUUUUCAGCGUUGCCUAAGGAUGGAGCCGCGGCCGAUCAGGUUGUUGGUGAGGUAACGGCUCACCAAGCCUAUAACCGGUACGGGCCAUGAGAGUGGGAGCCCGGAGAUGGGCACUGAGACAAGGGCCCAGGCCCUACGGGGCGCAGCAGUUGCGAAACCUCCACAAUGCACGAAAGUGCGAUGGGGCUAACCCGAGUGCCGUCCGCUGAGGAGGGCUUUUCUCCGCUGUAAGGAGGCGGAGGAAUAAGGAGAGGGCAAGACUGGUGUCAGCCGCCGCGGUAAUACCAGCUCUCCGAGUGGUAGGGACGAUUAUUGGGCCUAAAGCGUUCGUAGCCGGCUUGGCAAGUCUUUCGUUAAAUCCAGUGACCUAAUCGCUGGGCUGCGGGAGAUACUGUCAGGCUUGGGAGCGGAAGAGGUCGACGGUAUUCUCGGGGUAGGGGUGAAAUCCUGUAAUCCC
rnacentral:rRNA from 1 species